UUUAUCAUAAAAUAAUAUUUAUUUUUCUUUCUGUAUCUGACUCCAAAUUAUUACCAUUCUUUACCAAAUCUGGGACAAACUGAGAAAAGGCUCAGGAAGGAUUCCAUGCUGCCUUCUGCUUUUUUCCUUUUAAAAACUAGCUGCUUGAUGAAACAUUAAGUAUGCAUGUGGCAAUAUGUUGCUUUGGUUUCUUAAGAAGAAACCUGCUUAAUGUACCAUGAAAUAUUAUUUAAGAGAAAAAUUAAAAAAAAGAAAAGUUGUCAGACAUCGUUACCUUUGGCUUUUUCAGGCACUUCGAACACUAAUCAUUUCACACAUAAAAUUUACCAGGUAAGCAAGGUCUCAUGGUAUUGACAGAAAACACUUGAAAUGCAUCAGAAAGCGCACUAAGUAAACGAGAAAACAAAGUACACUCUUGAUUUCUAAAACAAUAAGGGGAAAACUGGUGGUUCUUAAUUUCAAAGCAAUCACAUAUUAUAGACGAAACUUUUAUGUAAAUUUUUGUCAUGCUCCUAUACUUGAAAUAGCAUCUUGCGAAAGGGAACACUGAAGAGUACACCGCAUUAUAGCUGGAAAAAUCCUACUUAAGGGCUCCUGAUGGCAAACUGUGAAUCAGAAUUCCCAGUUUGUUAUGAACUGCUCAUUUCUGGAGUACAGCUAAACAGAGGUUUAAUAAUUGAAAGUUUAAUGGCAUUUUGUCUCUCACUUGGUUUUGAAGUAUCUUCUGUUGUUUGAAGAGUUAAAUACGAAUAUUCAGAUUGCUGCUCAGCCACUGCUCUGUGCUCCUCCUGGGCUUCUCCACUGGCAGCGCUGAGAUGGCAGAGGGGACAGAGCUGCUGAGUUGCAUCUCACAGGGGGAGAUCCUGCAGAUCCUGCAGGUGAAAAAAUAAAGGUGGUGGCUAGCGAGAGCCUUGAUUGGCAGCUUGGAGCGAAAGUCCGUGCGGAGCCUCAGCCCGGCGCAGCCCCGGGGGUCUGAGCACUUUCCACCGGACAGAGGCAGCUGAAGGAAGCUUGCACGUCCGCUUCUCCUCUCCUCCUCCAUCCAGGACAGAGAAUGAAUCCAUUUCGGUUUUUCUUCCCCGGCUCUCCUUCCGUUUGCCUACACAUCCUCCAAGUCCUAGCCCUAGCUUUUAACUGCACUUACCUUUCAAGACCUGAACAGAGCUGUCUUUUAUGAGGCCUAUAGAGCUGACAGGUCCUGGGACUUUCUCAAACACAGGACCCAUACAGGUGAAAUUCUAAUAGGUGGUAAACACCUGAGAACUGGACAAGAAGACUACAAGAAAAAAGAAAGCAAAUGAGUAAAAUGUCUUCCCAGAGCCACAGUCAGCUCUUGUGCAUGGGGAGUUACGAAUGCACUGGCUAUA
rnacentral:lncRNA from 1 species